UUUCCGUAGGUGAACCUGCGGAAGGAUCAUUAACGAGUUACGGUCUUCUAGGCCUGCCCUCCCAACCCUUUGUUUACUGAACAAUUGUUGCCUCGGUGGGUCCGUCUUACGACCGCCGGGGGAUCGCCGCGAGGCGCCCCCUGGCAAGCGCCCACCGAUAGCCCAACCUUUAAAACCCUUUGUGAAUCGUGUCUUAUGCCUAAAUUUAUGAUUAAACAAUCAAAACAAAACUUUCAACAACGGAUCUCUUGGUUCUG
rnacentral:misc_RNA from 1 species